rnacentral:rRNA from 1 species
GACGAACGCUGGCGGCGUGCCUAAUACAUGCAAGUCGAGCGAAUCGAUGGGAGCUUGCUCCCUGAGAUUAGCGGCGGACGGGUGAGUAACACGUGGGUAACCUGCCUGUAAGACUGGGAUAACUUCGGGAAACCGGAGCUAAUACCGGAUACUUUCUUUUCUCGCAUGAGGGAAGAUGGAAAGAUGGUUCUGCUAUCACUUACAGAUGGACCCGCGGCGCAUUAGCUAGUUGGUGAGGUAACGGCUCACCAAGGCAACGAUGCGUAGCCGACCUGAGAGGGUGAUCGGCCACACUGGGACUGAGACACGGCCCAGACUCCUACGGGAGGCAGCAGUAGAGAAUCUUCCGCAAUGGACGAAAGUCUGACGGAGCAACGCCGCGUGAGCGAAGAAGGCCUUCGGGUCGUAAAGCUCUGUUGUUAGGGAAGAACAAGUACGAGAGUAAUUGCUCGUACCUUGACGGUACCUAACCAGAAAGCCACGGCUAACUACGUGCCAGCCGCCGCCGUAAGAC